GUGAGGAAUUUUCCGCAAUGGGCGAAAGCCUGACGGAGCAAAGCCGCGUGAAGGAUGAAGGCCUAUGGGUUGUAAACUUCUUUUCUCAGAAAAGAAUUAUGACGGUAUCUGAGGAAUAAGCAUCGGCUAACUCUGUGCCAGCAGCCGCGGUAAGACAGAGGAUGCAAGCGUUAUCCGGAAUGAUUGGGCGUAAAGCGUCUGUAGGUUGUUUAAAAAGUAUUCUGUCAAAGAUUAGGGCUUAACCCUAGAUAGGCAGAAUAAACUUUUAAGCUAGAGUUUGGUAGAGGCAGAGGGAAUUCCCGGUGGAGCGGUGAAAUGCGUAGAUAUCGGGAGGAACACCAAAGGCGAAGGCACUCUGCUGGGCCAAUACUAACACUGAGAGACGAAAGCGAGGGGAGCAAAUGGGAUUAGAAACCCCGGUAGUCC
rnacentral:rRNA from 1 species